GACUCGAUUUUCGAAGUGUUUCACGUUGUGAGGAAUCUUUUGGGCCAUAGAUAACAAGUUCGUGAGAUGACUGGAAUUAUUCCAAUCAGCAUUGAAAUGACCAUCGUGUCUAGCAUCUAUGAUAUGCUGAAAACAACGGUCAUGCUGAAGAGAUCAGCAUUCAUCGUCUCUGGAACCAUCAAUCUGUACAAUCGAGAAGCUCAUCGACCGGAAUUUCAGGAUGCGGUUUUUUUUACCUGCACACCGUAUUGUGUUCCGGAAUAUCAAUGGCGGAAGUGGACCGAAGAAGCCACUACCGAAGAACUUGUCUUGGUUAUUGAAUAAAUUGAAAAUUUUGAAAUAAGAUGUUGAUUUUUAUA